AGUGAACGCUGGCGGCAGGCCUAACACAUGCAAGUCGAACGGUAGCACAGAGGAGCUUGCUCCUUGGGUGACGAGUGGCGGACGGGUGAGGAAUAUAUCGGAAUCUACCCUUUCGUGGGGGAUAACGUAGGGAAACUUACGCUAAUACCGCAUACGAACUGAGGUUGAAAGCGGCGGACCGCAAGGCGUCGCGCGGAUGGAUGAGCCGAUAUCCGAUUAGCUAGUUGGCGGGGUAAAGGCCCACCAAGGCGACGAUCGGUAGCUGGUCUGAGAGGAUGAUCAGCCACACUGGAACUGAGACACGGUCUAGACUCCUACGGGAGGCAGCAGUGGGGAAUAUUGGACAAUGGGCGCAAGCCUGAUCCAGCCAUGCCGCGUGUGUGAAGAAGGCCUUCGGGUUGUAAAGUACUUUUGUUGGGAAAGAAAUCCUGUCGGUUAAUACCCGGCGGGGCUGACGGUACCCAAAGAAUAAGCACCGGCUAACUUCGUGCCAGCCGCCGCAGUAAUAC
rnacentral:rRNA from 1 species